ensembl:lncRNA
GCUGUGGUUGUUGUGGGAACAGCUGUGGUUGUUGUGGGAACAGCUGUGGUUGUUGUUGGAGCUGCUGUGGUUGUUGUGGGAGCAGCUGUGGUUGUUGUGGGAGCAGCUGUGGUUGUUGUGGGAACAGCUGUGGUUGUUGUGGGAACAGCUCUGGUUGUUGUUGGAGCAGCUGUGGUUUUUGAAGUAGCGACUGUGGUUGUUGUGGGAGAUUCUGUGGUUGUUGUGGGAACAGCUGUGGUUGUUGUGGGAUCAACUGUGGUUGUUGUGGGAGCAGCUGUGGUUGUUGUGGGAGCAGCUGUGGUUGUUGUGGGAGAUUCUGUGGUUGUUGUGGGAGCAGCUGUGGUUGAUGUGGGAGCAGUAGUGGUUGUUGUUGGAGUAUCUGUGGUUGUUGUAGCAGCUAUGGUUGUUGUGGGAACAGCUGUGGUUGUUGUUGGAGCAGCUGGUGUUGUUGUGGAAGCAGCUGUGGUUGUUGUGGGAGCAGCUGUGGUUGUUGUGGGAAAAUCUCUGGUUGUUGUUGGAGCAGCUGUGGUUGUUGUGGGAAUAGCUGCGGUUGUAGUGAGAGCAGCUGUGGUUGUUGUGGGAGCAGCUGUGGUUGUUUUGAAUGUAUCUGUGUUUGUUGUUGGAGCAGUUGUGGUUGUUGUUGGAAGAGUUGUGGUUGUGGUUGGUACAUCUGGGGUUGUUGUCGGAGUAGCCGUGGUUGUUGUGGGAACAGCUGUGGUUGUUUUUGAAGUAUCUGUGGUUGUUGUUGCCCCAAUUGUAGUUGUCGUUGGAGCUUCUAUGGUUGCUGUGGGAGAAGCUAUGGGGUUGUGGGGAUGGCUGUGGUUGUUGUGGGUGCACCUUUGGUUGUUGUGGGUGCACCUGUGGUUGUUGUGGGUGCAGCUGUGGUUGUUGUGGGAAUAGUUGUGGUUGUUGUUGGAUAUGCUGUUGUUGUUGUGGGUGCAUCUGUGGUUUUUGUGGUAGAUGAUGUGGUUUUUGUUGGAGCAGCUGUGGUUGCUGUAGGAGCAGCUGUGGUUGUUGUGGGAGCAGCUGUGGUUGUUGUUGGAGUAGCUGUGGUUGUUGUGGGAGCAGCUGUGGUUGUUGUGAGAGCAGCUGUGGUUGUUGUGGGAGCAGCUGUGGUUGUUGUGGGAGAUUCUGUGAUUGUUGUGGGAGCAGCUGAGGUUGUUGUUGGAGCAGCUGGGGUUUUUGAAGUAGCGACUGUGGUUGUUGUGGGAGAUUCUGUGGUUGUUGUUGGAGCAGCUAUGGUUGUUGUGGGAGCAGCUGGGGAUUUUGUUGGAGCCGCUGUGUUUGUUGUGGGUGAGGCUGCGGUUGUUGGGAGAGCAGCUGUCGUUGAUAUGGGAGCAGCUGUGAUUGUCGUUUGAGCAGCUGUGGUUGUUGUUGGAACAUCUGGAGUUUUUGUCAGAGCAGGUGGCGUUGUUGUGGGUAUAGCUGUUGUUGUUGUGGCAGCAACUGUGGUUGUUGUGGGAGAUUCUGUGGUUGCUGUGGAAGAAUAUGUGGGGAAGGAUGUGGUUGUUGUGCGAGCAGCUGUGGUUGUUGUUGGAGAAGGUGUGGUUGAUGUGGGAGCAGUUUUGGUUGUUGUUGGAGUAUCUGUGGUUGUUGUAGCCCCAAUUGUAGUUGUCGUUGGAGCUUCUGUGGUUGUUGUUGGAGUAUCUGUGGUUGUUGUAGCCCCAAUUGUAGUUGUCGUUGGAUCUUGUAUGGUUGUUGUGGGAGAAGCUGUGGUUGUUGUUUGAACAUCUG